UAGAUUUUAAAGAAACUGAAUGUCUCUCAGGAGGCGCCAUUGCUGGGAUAAUAAUCACAUGUUUGGUAGUUGCAGCUGGAGCUGCUGGAGGUUACUUUAUGUAUAAAAGAAAAAAAAGUGUGAGUGCACAACCUGAUGCAGGUAAAUGUGAAGAAGAACAUGUCUAUGAGGAUAUCUCAGUUAUAUAUGAUAGAACAAUCAGUAUAAAAAAGCCAACAAUUUAAAGAAAGUCAGAAAUCUGAGAAAAUUCAGAGAACAACAACUUUAAGAAAGUUGAACAACAACCUAAAGGAAGAACAAAGAUGUUAAAGUUGCUGUUGAACAUAAUCUGAUGCAUGUGUUCGUGUGUACAUGUGUGUGUUUCUAAAGUUUACGCUCAUAGUUUCCACCUUUAUAUUGUCUUCAUAUGUAUUUAAUUCAGGGUGUGAAAUAAUGUAUGACUUUAGAGUUAUGGGGAAACAUGUGCUCAGUCCAUUGUGUUUAGUUUAUUACUGUCUUCUCUUUGUGCAUUUCUCUUUUCUCUCUCACUCUUUCUGGCUAACAUUAGUCAUUCCACAUAGCUGGCUACAAACUAAAGGGGACCAGGCCUUUUUAUUCCUUAUGGCCCCAAGGCUGAGGAACAGUUUGCCCUUGCAGCUCCGUUUUGUUGAUCAUGUGGAUAUUUUUAAAAAGCAACUAAAAACUUUAUUUUCCCAGACCUUAAUGUCAUGAUUUUAUUGUUUGUUGUGUUUGCUUUAUGCUUUGAGCUUUGUGAUUUUAUGUCAGUUAAAAGCGCUUUACAAAUAAUCUUAACUAUUCAUUUAAAGUAUUAUAAAAUAAAAAAAGUAAAUUGUUGCUAAUUGUUAGAAAUUCUGAGUAUCUCAUUGAAAUAUGAUGCAUAUUUUUGUUUUUUUCUUUAGUGUAUACUUAGUUAAAAUGUUGCUCACAUUAAGUCAGAUCAUAAAAGCAUUCUGCACAUUAAUUUUCUUUUCUAGAGAACUGAUGUCCUUGAAAUGUAUUUUUGGCUUCCCAGCAUCAGGGUAAAUGCUGCCAUCUCCCCUCUCGAAAAGACAUUUUUUCUUCUCACUGCCCUAUCAGAGCAAAAAGCGUCAUCAAAGAUCCACUGAUCCCAUCUAUGCUGCCGUCUUGCAGAAGCUACAGGUCCAUUAGAACCUGGACAAACAGAGCCAGGACAAUUUCCAUCCCUCUUUUCUCUCACGCUCACCUUAAACUCCCAAUAGGGCAAUGUGCAAUUGUACAACACAAUAACAAUGAAUCUUGACAUGUAAAAUCUUUCCAUGUGCAACAAACUUUAUAUAUGUAUAUAUAAUUUUUUAUUAAAAUAUUU